UACGAAGGGGGCUAGCGUUGCUCGGAAUCACUGGGCGUAAAGCGCACGUAGGCGGCUUUUUAAGUCGGGGGUGAAAUCCUGGAGCUCAACUCCAGAACUGCCUUCGAUACUGGCGAUCUCGAGUUCGGGAGAGGUGAGUGGAACUGCGAGUGUAGAGGUGAAAUUCGUAGAUAUUCGCAAGAACACCAGUGGCGAAGGCGGCUCACUGGCCCGAUACUGACGCUGAGGUGCGAAAGCGUGGGGAGCAAACAGG
rnacentral:rRNA from 1 species